ACAUGCCAGAUGCUGGGGCUUCCCUGGCCCCGACUGGCUGGCCACAGGCAGGGCUGGCAGGAGAAGCGACCGCCACCCUGCGUGUCCCAGGAGGGCAGGGACAGUUGAGGGCGCCCAUAGGAACGCUGCACAGUGGAGAACGCAUGCAGGCCUCCAACCAUGGCCAGGGCCCUGCGGCGUGGCCCCGUGUCUACCUGUAAAGGUGCUGGGACCCACCACCUGACAAGGACCACGCCUGGCAGGACGAGACCAGGAGGCGACAGUCAGGCAGAGAAGAUGAAGAAACCAGAAGGCAUCUGUGCAAGGGAGCCCCACACAGACACUGGAAAGAACCAGGGCAACCUGCAGACCAACUUGUAAGACCUCCCCUAGGGCGACGGAAAUGAGAUGAGGCAAACGGCUUCCCAACCAGAGCCCAUGCACCUUCCACGUCUGUGCAGGGAGCUUGGGGCCACAUCCCAAGAUAGGAAAGACAACUGAGGCUUCCACAAAGAAAUUACAAUGAAACAGACACUGGCCAGGCCAGCUGAAAAUCAGUGAUGGACUACGGUCCAAAUCGACAUGGAGGUUCCAACAAGAGAAGGACGGUGGUGGGGUCACCCUACCCCAGCCUCCGAGUGCCCCAGAGGACGCACAAGCAGGACAGCCACCCUGUUGCAGUGCGGUGCUUUCACACCAUGUUCACCCCACCUCCGCCCUCUGGCCCAGACGUCGGUGGCUCCUCUGCAGGGUAAGGUGAGGUGAGGUGAGGUAGGAGCAGACAGUGGAGAAACACCACAAACAGCACAGGUGGUCGGCCAGGGCCACGAGCCCUUCAGCUCACCGAUGCCAAGACCCCGCAAUCCCCACAACAAACCUGCAAGGUCAGAAUGAUUGCGCACAUGUACAGACGACUAAGCUGAGGCCCCUUCCUCCUUCACCUCUGGAGUGCCACCUGAGCGCAGAGGCUUUGGCACACAAAGCACUCAGCAGUCGGAAGUGGAGGCACAGCCUAGGAUCAAGACCCUGGGCUUCCUGUCCCAGGCUCCUCAACCUGCAGGCGGCCACACAGCAAGAGGACCCUGGGAAGUUAAAGAACGAGGCGCUCCUGCUUCCCCCACCCCCAAUGGCCAGCAAGGACACAAAGGCAGCCAAGGGCAGGGCCAGCUGCCAGCCACAAGGGCCCUCCAGAACCCAAGGUCCAGUGGAGACUCCGAAAGGGCUGAUUGCAGGGCCCCCAAGGGGUCCGCACACCAGACACAGAGGCCAUGCCGAAAGGCGGUAAGGGGCCCCCAUGGGGUCCGCACACCAGACACAGAGGCCAUGCCAAAAGGCGGUAAGGAGCCCCCAUGGGGGUCCGCAUACCAGACACAGAGGCCCUGCAAGAGGGAGGCAUGGAGCGCCCGCGGUGUCGGCACACCAGGAUUCACAGCUCGGCUCUCCACCCUGGCUGACCUCGCUGUGAAGAGAUGGUUUGUGCUGAGAGCUUAGCAAGGCCAUCGUCUACCGAGUGCUUCCCACCAUAGCCCAUGGGCAGGCAUGAGAGUCAUGCCUCCCACAGGCCAUAGCUUCACUCAUGCAAGGACGUUCUGGGGGCUGGGACGUCCUAGCCAGUGGCUAGAACUGGGUGUGACCAUGGGCCCCCUUGGCUGGGGAGAAAAGGAGGUGCCCCUAGAUCCCAAGUCCCCUGGGGCCGCAGCAAAGGGAGGAGGACCUUGCAUCACUCCAGGGUGCCACGUAGACGAACAGAGGUAACACUGGGAGCAUGGCUGGCAGUGUUGGACAUUCAGAACACGUCUGCCCAAAACAAACAUGGCCUUCAUUUCUCCCAGCUCCCAGAAACAAGUAAACAGAAGGAUCAUGUCUGGACACCAGGGACCAGCUCCUGUUACAUCCCUGUCCCCCCCAGGCCGGAGCCUGACCAUUCCGUGUCACCUGCCUCUACUCCUGUAGUGACUGUCAACUUUCUGGAUUUCAGAAAGCCAAACCCGCGAGGGAAGCCUUUCCCCGGGGGGUGGAGGUGUCUCUCCUACACACACCCCUACCCCAGGGUCUGAGAUGACAUCCCAAAUCAAACCUGGUAUUCUGCAGAGAUACACAAAGGUUCAAACUACAGACAGCCUUGUAUCAGCUAUAAAGGGGGGCCAGAUUUUGCUGCAAAAGAAAAACCCCGGUAUUCCCUC
rnacentral:antisense_RNA from 1 species